UCGGCCUCGAGGGGAGGCGCCUGUACCGCGUCCCCUCAACUGCGCCUCCCUAGGAUGUUUAUUCCAGGCUGCACCUCGGAAUAAGGAAAAAUUAAAUAUAGCCCAUCUCCUGGUUCAUUGUGGCUGACUUCUUAAACCUGGACACUCUUCUCCCCGAACCUCACCCCACAGCUGCCAGGGCUGCAGCUGACUGUUGCAACUGGACUUGGAACUUUUUGGUAUAUUUUCACCUUCAGGAGCUACAAAUCCAUGAAGAUCAACUAUCCAAGGCUUAUCCUCUCUCUUCAACUGGAAAAUCACAUCAGGUUGAGGAACUGGAAGUCCUGCUCAUGGAG